AAGGAAUUAGACCUUAUCUGAAUGAAACAGAGAGGGAAAAGGGCAAAAUCAGCUCUGGUGGAGCCAAAAUCUAAGCUGCUUUUUAUCAUACGCAUACAAGGGCAAAAUGACAUGCACCCAAAAACUAAGAAGAUCCUGCACAAACUAAGAUUGACGAAAAUCUUUAGUGAUGUCUUUGCCAUGGCUAGUGAAGGCAUAUAAGAAUAGCUGCAAAAGGUGGAGCCAUAUGUCACUUAUGGGUUUUGGAUGCUGCCAAGUCUCUUCCUCCAAGGGAGCUGCUGCAUUCUUGCUUACUUAUUCAUGUGUGCUGGGCAAGUAUUACUAUUUGGGCUGUAGAUAUUUCCAUGUUGAAACCUUGGAGGCUUGGAAGAAGACUUUUCUCGCCAUUGACCAGAACCUUUUCUGGAGCUUUUUUCGCUGGGGAAUUAUUUACAGAUUGCAUGUUGCUGCUCCCUCCUUUUCUUCUUGUUUUGGUUGCGUAUAUA